rnacentral:rRNA from 1 species
UACGUAGGGUGCGAGCGUUAAUCGGAAUUACUGGGCGUAAAGCGUGCGCAGGCGGUCCGCAAAGUCUGAUGUGAAAGCCCCGGGCUCAACCUGGGAACUGCAUUGGAAACUAACGGGCUCGAGUGUGGCAGAGGGGGGUGGAAUCCCACGUGUAGCAGUGAAAUGCGUAGAGAUGUGGAGGAACACCGAUGGCGAAGGCAGCCCCCUGGGCUAACACUGACGCUCAGGCACGAAAGCGUGGGGAGCAAACAGG